UACGGGGGGGUAAGCGUUGUUCGGAAUUACUGGGCGUAAAGGGCUCGUAGGCGGCCAACUAAGUCAGACGUGAAAUCCCUCAGCUUAACUGGGGAACUGCGUCUGAUGCUGGAUGGCUUGGAUCCGGGAGAGGGAUGCGGAAUUCCAGGUGUAGCGGUGAAAUGCGUAGAUAUCUGGAGGAACACCGGUGGCGAAGGCGGCAUCCUGGACCGGUAUUGACGCUGAGGAGCGAAAGCCAGGGAGCA
rnacentral:rRNA from 1 species